AUUGUGAUAGUAAAUUAAAUAUAAAGUUGUUUAUCGCCUACAGAACUGAAUUAUCCCAUAGUAAUUAUCAGUUUGUGUCAAUUUGUUUAAAAAAGAAAAAACACCUUUCCUUGUGUUUGACAGACUUGUAGCAAGGGCUUUCUUGUGGAUCCUGUAAAUUGCGGGAAUAGGACAGACAGGGAUAAAAUCCUCACUUUUUACUAUUCCCAAGGCUAUACAUUUCCCCCAUGCAAUACAUUUAAAUGAAUUUUAUCCAAACAAAGGCAGGAACAUUGGAUAAAAGCAAUAAGGAGAACAGACCUCAAAUUAAAAUAUGAGAGUAUACAGUAAACAUUUUAUAAGUGGAAUAAACACCAGCUAUUUUAAAUGUAGGAAAAGGAGAAACUGCUGGAACCUAACUUUACACAAAUGUUUUUGACUAUUGAAGAUUUGGAUAAACAACAGAAGUUACUUUGGGCUAUAGCUAUGUGCAGAUUUAUUUCAUUGUGGAUUACUAUGUUUAUUCUUUUUAACUAUACUUCCUACGUUGUUUGUGAGAUUAAUAUUAUUAUUUAAUUGAUUAUAUUAAUAUUUUGUAAUAAUAAUCAAUGCUUUGGUUUAACAAAUAGACAACUUAAAAUAGAAAAA
rnacentral:lncRNA from 1 species